GCCUCUAUGGCACAGGGGUAAUGCGUGUCACUCGUACAGUAAUUGAGCUUGCGGUGUUAUGACAAGAUCCGCGGUUCGAUUCCGCGUGGAGGCA
rnacentral:tRNA from 1 species